AAUCCAUGAACAGCCUUAGUGAAGUGCCAUCAAGCAUAUGUAAAAGUCUAGUGGGAGUUAGAUAUUUUUAUGAAUAGUACUACUAAUAAAAAGUAAAAGUAUCACAAGCAGCGUGCUUUGGAGUCCACAGGAAGGAGUAAUUCACUUGGAGUGUCCCUUUACUAGGUAGCUCCCUCAGUUUGCUCCAGGCUGCUCUGUUGGGGGCCUCAGGAAGGAGGAUGCAGGUGAAACAGGUCACAGGUGAGCCACAGAAGUAUUUUAAGCAGGAAAGAGCACUGUGCCCUUUUCAGGUGAUAGAGUCACCAGUAAACCAGAGCCCAUGCCUCGAGGGAGAGCCCCAAGUGGCAGGAAGAAUGGCAACUCUAAGGCGUGGCUCCACCAAAAGAAUCCUCUCAGGCACCCUAAGGAAUAGGCCCAGAGGCAGAGACUGAGGGAGCAGCACCAAAUUUGGAUUCGAGAGAAGCUGAAGCAUUUGGAACAGAAGGAGGAGGUGGCAGAUGACCAGGUCAAAGGCCUGGUGGCUGAAGAGGAGAUGACUUGUGGGGGGACCACAGUCUG
rnacentral:lncRNA from 1 species